ACAGAUCGUUCAGAGUUUGAUUCUGGCUCAGGACGAACGCUGGCGGCGUGCCUAACACAUGCAAGUCGAGCGAAGUGUUUGAAGCUGAUUCUUUCGGGAUGAAGUUUCAAAUAUCUUAGCGGCGGACGGGUGAGUAACGCGUGAGGAACCUGCCUUCCACAAGGGGAUAGCCUCGGGAAACUGGGAUUAAUACCCUAUGACACUUAUUUACUGCAUGGUAGAUAAGUUAAAGCGAAUUAGCGGUGGAAGAUGGCCUCGCGUCCCAUUAGCUAGUUGGUGAGGUAACGGCUCACCAAGGCGACGAUGGGUAGCCGGCCUGAGAGGGUGAACGGCCACACUGGAACUGAGACACGGUCCAG
rnacentral:rRNA from 1 species